UACGUAGGGUGCGAGCGUUAAUCGGAAUUACUGGGCGUAAAGCGUGCGCAGGCGGUUUUGUAAGCCAGAUGUGAAAGCCCCGGGCUUAACCUGGGAAUGGCAUUUGGGACUGCAAGGCUUGAGUGCGGCAGAGGAGACUGGAAUUCCUGGUGUAGCAGUGAAAUGCGUAGAUAUCAGGAGGAAUACCGAUGGCGAAGGCAGGUCUCUGGGCUGAAACUGACGCUCAUGCACGAAAGCGUGGGGAGCAAACAGG
rnacentral:rRNA from 1 species